rnacentral:rRNA from 1 species
GUGCCAGCCGCCGCGGUAAUACGUAGGGGGCAAGCGUUGUCCGGAUUUAUUGGGCGUAAAGAGCGUGUAGGCGGCCGUGUAGGUCUGACGUGAAAUCUGGAGGCUCAACCUCCAGCUGUCGUUGGAAACCGCUCGGCUAGAGUCCGGAAGAGGAGAGUGGAAUUCCUGGUGUAGCGGUGAAAUGCGCAGAUAUCAGGAAGAACACCUAUGGCGAAGGCAGCUCUCUGGGACGGUACUGACGCUGAGACGCGAAAGCGUGGGGAGCGAACAGGAUUAGAAACCCUCGUAGUCC